rnacentral:misc_RNA from 1 species
GAUGAAGAACGCAGCGAAAUGCGAUAAGUAGUGUGAAUUGCAGAAUUCAGUGAAUCAUCGAUUCUUUGAACGCACAUUGCGCCCCUUGGUAUCCCGAGGGGCAUGCCUGUUCGAGCGUCAUUUCACCACUCAAGCCUGGCUUGGUGUUGGGCGACGUCCUCUUUGGGGACGCGCCUCGAAACGCUCGGCGGCGUGGCACCGGCUUUAAGCGUAGCAGAAUCUUUCGCUUUGGAAGUCGGGGCCCCGUCUGCCGGAAGACCUGCUCGCAAGGUUGACCUCGGAUCAGGCAGGGAUACCCGCUGAACUUAAGCAUAUCAAUAAGCGGAG